rnacentral:lncRNA from 1 species
ACUUCUCUCUCUUUCUCUUUCUCUUUCUUGUCUCUACCACCACUUUGCACACCUCCUAUCUAACCCCUAGGAUGGAGUAUAACUGUCGAAGGAAGUAGAUGCACGCAGUGGUUCGUUGUUGCACAUGGUGGAGUAGAACCGUUGCUGAACCUUUGCGUGCAGCUGCUUGUGACAUCACCCCUGCUUGCAAUGGCGGUGAGCUGCUUCUACUUGUUUCACCAUUUGUCCAACUCAUUGAUCCCAUCCACCAAUUCUUCUACACAGACGUU